rnacentral:rRNA from 1 species
GAUGAACGCUGGCGGCGUGCUUAACACAUGCAAGUCGAACGAAGAUGCCGGAGUGCUUGCACUUUGGCAGACUGAGUGGCGGACGGGUGAGUAACGCGUGGGUAACCUGCCUUAUACAGGGGGAUAACAGUUGGAAACGACUGCUAAUACCGCAUAAGCGCACGGUAUCGCAUGAUACAGUGUGAAAAACUCCGGUGGUAUAAGAUGGACCCGCGUCUGAUUAGCUAGUUGGCGGGGUAACGGCCCACCAAAGCGACGAUCAGUAGCCGACCUGAGAGGGUGACCGGCCACAUUGGGACUGAGACACGGCCCAAACUCCUACGGGAGGCAGCAGUGGGGAAUAUUGCACAAUGGGCGCAAGCCUGAUGCAGCGACGCCGCGUGAAGGAUGAAGUAUUUCGGUAUGUAAACUUCUAUCAGCAGGGAAGAAAAUGACGGUACCUGACUAAGAAGCCCCGACUAACUACGUG